rnacentral:pre_miRNA from 1 species
AGUAGGAUAGCUGGGUCAAAUGGUGGUUUCAUUCCAAGUUUUCUGAGAAUGGUCAUAUUGCUUUCCAUAGUGGUUGCACCAAUUUGCAGUCCCACCAGCAAU